UUAAUAUUCCUGUACUUGGUGUUACUGCGAAGGGGGGACGGAGAAGGCUAUGUUGGCCGGGCGACGGUUGUCCCGGUUUAAGCGUGUAGGCUGGUUUUCCAGGCAAAUCCGGAAAACCAAGGCUGAGGCGUGAUGACGAGGCACUACGGUGCUGAAGCGACAAAUGCCCUGCUUCCAGGAAAAGCCUCUAAGCAUCAGGUAACAUCAAAUCGUACCCCAAACCGACACAGGUGGUCAGGUAGAGAAUACCAAGGCGCUUGAGAGAACUCGGGUGAAGGAACUAGGCAAAAUGGUGCCGUAACUUCGGGAGAAGGCACGCUGAUAUGUAGGUGAAGCGACUUGCUCGUGGAGCUGAAAUCAGUCGAAGAUACCAGCUGGCUGCAACUGUUUAUUAAAAACACAGCACUGUGCAAACACGAAAGUGGACGUAUACGGUGUGACGCCUGCCCGGUGCCGGAAG
rnacentral:rRNA from 1 species